rnacentral:ncRNA from 2 species
AAACUGCUCUCUGGAGAGUCCCAGCUAUUGGGCGCCGAAGGUGCAAGGAAAAGUGUGGCUUUUCCGGUCUCUCAGGCAAAAGGACAGAGCUUUUCAG